AUGGAGGCCUUGAUUGUGGGUUCUCCUGCUGGUCACAUGAAGGUGACCAUGAGCAGGGGCUCUGGGAAGGAACUGCAGAAGGAGCUCCAAGAGCUUCUUUCUCAGGAAUGUCUGAUCAAGGAGGUGGUGCUUAUGUCAAAGAAGAAAUGAAGAGGAAUGAUCUUCCUGAAACAGCAGUUAUCAGGCUUCUGUGGACCUGUAUAAUGAGUGCCAUUGAGUGGAACAAGACGGAAGAACUUGUGGCAGAGCGGGCUCUCAAGCACCUGAAGCAAUAUGCUCCCCUAUUGGCUGUGUUCAGCUCCCAAGGCCAGUCAGAGCUGAUCCUCCUCCAGAAGGUUCAGGAAUAUUGUUACGACAACAUCCACUUCAUGAAAGCUUUUAGGAAGAUUGUGGUUCUCUUCUAUAAAGCUGAUGGUCUGAGUGAAGAAGCAAUACUGAAAUGGUACAAAGAAGCCCAUGUUGCCAAGGGCAAAAGUGUUUUUCUUGACCAGAUGAAGAAAUUUGUUGAGUGGUUACAAGAUGCAAAAGAAGAAUCUGAAUCAGAAGGUGAAGAAAAUUAAGUAGCUCAACAAGCACAAUACCUGGUAUGCCACACAACACUUCCUGACUGGGAACACUGAACCAUUUGGGAAGAGCAACUUGGCUUCUGUUUUCACAAAGGAAAAAAAAUAGGCUAGACUUCCCUUGUGCAUAGGGGAAAAUGGUUUUGGUUUUUGUUUUGUUUUUAAAUGGAGCCCUUAGGCAUCAGCUGUUAUACUUGGGACUCUACCUCUCACUCACCAUAUGCUAAUCUAAAGCCAUUCAACAAGGAGUCAAGUAGGAAUCUGAAAUUAAAUAUUCAAUGGACUCCUCUUUUUUAGCUGUAUUUUUCAGGUACUAUGUGGUGAACUCCCCACUGGUGUCUGUUUACAGGGCCACUUUGGUAGUUGUGUAUCUGCUCAUGUAUGUGAUUUGACAAACCAGUUUUUUAAAAUAAAUGGCUUU